AGCAGCAGCCACGGGAAUACGAAGGGUGCAAGCGUUAAUCGGAAUUACUGGGCGUAAAGCGUGCGUAGGCGGUUUGUUAAGUCUGUUGUGAAAUCCCCGGGCUCAACCUGGGAAUGGCAAUGGAUACUGGCAAGCUAGAGUGUGUCAGAGGAUGGUGGAAUUCCCGGUGUAGCGGUGAAAUGCGCAGAGAUCGGGAGGAACAUCAGUGGCGAAGGCGGCCAUCUGGGACAACACUGACGCUGAGGCACGAAAGCGUGGGGAGCAAACAGGAUUAGAUACCCGAGUAGUCCCUGUCUCUUAUAC
rnacentral:rRNA from 1 species